AGGACGAACGCUGGCGGCGUGCUUAACACAUGCAAGUCGAGCGGAAAGGCCUUUCGGGGUACUCGAGCGGCGAACGGGUGAGUAACACGUGAGUAAUCUGCCCAUCGCUUCAGGAUAGCCAGUCGGAAACGGUGAUUAAUACUGGAUAUGACAUUCCUUCGCAUGUUGGGGUGUGGAAAGUUUUUUCGGCGGUGGAUGUGCUCGCGGCCUAGUCAGCUUGUGGUGGGUAAUGGCCUACAGGCUUGACGGUGCCGGCCUGGAGAGGGUCGACCGGCCACGACGUGGGACUGAGGACACGGGCCCAG
rnacentral:rRNA from 1 species